ACCUGUGGCAAGAUACGUGAUCAUCCAGCUGAAUCUCUGCUCUGCUCGCUCUGGCCGCUUCACUCUCACCAAUUGCUGUCACAGUUUUGCCCACUUGAAGUUCGUGUUUUUGUUGCCUAAAAGAUUUCCUGCCUCAUUAAUGGCUUGUUAAAGGCCUUAUUAAUGUAUCUGUUGGAUGAAAAGGAAAUACUUAAAGCGGGUCAGGUUUUAUGCAAUGUUCAGGAAAGUUCUUUAUGGGCACCUCUUCUCUGUUGGGCGUCCUUGCCUCAUUGGAACGUGCUCAGCCAUUUUAGGAACAUCUUCCAGGCUUCCUUCUUCGAGUUUGCAGCUGGGAAUGAAAGCAAGAGGUUCUUCUCUUGGUGGGAAACAACAGGCCAGGAUUCCAGGAAUCCAAGUGUCUGAUUCCCACUUGGAGAGCACUCCCAGGGAAAAGCCAAGGACAACAGAAUGAAGCCUUGGGCAGGAGGAGAGCAGAGUUAGGGAAACAUUUCAUCGGGGCCACCAGACAAAAAGGAACCAACAACUGGCUGCAUAAAUAAUUGAAGUGAAAACUUUAUAUGCCUGCUUUUCUGAGGUGUUACAAACCCAUGGAUUCCAAGAGGCUUUUGGAGGGGCUGUAACCAAGCAACAAGGACUGAAAUUUGGUUCUCUCUCCUGGAAAAACAAUGGGCUUGCAACUCAUAAUGACAACGCCUGGCACUGAAGAGUGAGCCCUUCCUUGGUUGAAUAGUCUUUGGAUGAAACUAUAAGAAAAGAUGGUUAUGGAAUGAAGAAAGCAUUUUUACUUGGCUUAGGAGAGGCCUAUUCCAGUAUCAAAUCUGCCUUUUCCUAAACAAAAUGGAGGUCAGCAAGUUCUGGAUGAAUCUGACACUGAGGAAAGACUGCAAAUAAGCAACAUCUCAAGAUUUUCUUUCUCAAAACUUUAUUUUCAAAAGAAAUAAUGGACAUAAUUUGCCUGCAUGAAAGAGAAAACACGGCUGUAUCCCAAGUGGGGCUGGCGGCACACAACACUCCUGGCUGAUGAUUCCUCCCAUUAUUUACCUCGCUGAAAUGAGGGCUAUUUUCCUUCUUACCUUAAAACAUGGCUUUUGUAUUGGAUGAAGCCUAACCCAGAGAUGCACAUAAGAUCCUGACUGACCCUGUAGCCUUACAGCAAAGCCACAGAAUCCAGCUGGAGCAGAACCAAAUGUGUGAAUGUGGAAAACCCCAAAGGGACAUGCCAGGGAUGUGCCAGCCCUCCCCAGAGGGAAUGAACCUCACACAGGCCGUGGUCUGGGGCUCCCUGGAGCCCAGGGACAAGCUGCCACCCAUUUUAAUGAGCCCCCUGUCACUCUGCACUUCCCCAGCUGCCAUUCCUGUCUAAUCCUCAAAAUUUAAAACCUCUUCCCCCAAGCUGCCAGAACAAACAAGUGAGGAACCCCCCAGGGAUGAAACCUCCAGCGUGAGGUCAGUCCCAUUUCCUCCACCCACAUCUUUAUCAUGGGCCCCAUGUUUCAUCUUUCCACGAGUUAAUUGUUAAUAAUUCCCCAUAGAGUGCAAGAUUCAUUAAGUACUUCCUAAUUUAUCAAGCAUAAGUCUCAUCAGGUAAUUUUAAUCAUAUGAAAAUCAUUCUAAAUUCAUUUUGAUAGACAAUUUCCUGUUGCAGCCUAGCAAGCCUCCUUUUCCCCUGUGUCAUGGGAAGCAGCAUCUCUGGAUCUCUGGUUGUUCUCCUCUAACUUCCACCAUUGCAGAUGCCAUUGCACUUCCAUCAUUUUCUUGUAUUUAUUUGAAACUGCUGCCAGCUGCUAAAGAGUUGUGUUUCCUUUUUUUUUUUUUUAAUUGAUUACCUGAAAUAUAUUGAAAAAAAUUGGUUUAUUUCAUCCAUCAAACCCCUGCCUUCCUGAAAAUCAGAAUACUUUGGAGUCACCAGAGCACUUCUUUAUUAAAGUGGCUUUGCCAGGUUGUCAUAUAGGGGAUAUUUGAGAGAAAUAGACAUAAUCUCUUUAUGGAUGGGAUGGGAAAAUAAUUGUAUUGCUGGGCCAAGGUGGUAAAAAGUACUCAGCUCUACAGGAGCUUAGAAAGGAGGGAAAGGACAGGAAAACAUGGAAAACCAAUGCAGUUGAAUGACAAACACAGCUCAGUUGUUUAAGAUUCAGAGCUCCCUGUCCCCAUUCCAGUCAAAGAAGGAGCUGGGAACUCUGAACGUGUAUUUACAGGCAGAACUUGUUCCUGACAUCUCCCAUUUUUUAUCCCUAUUAUUUCCCCCAGUCUUAUUGCCAAAAGAAAUUAAGUUCAAAUGAAUGCCUGGUUAUUCAGUGUCUGCAAGGAUAACAAAGAUGUUCUCCAGCUGAAAGCAGCAAGCAGGGCCUCCUGUGAUGGUGGGGAAAAGAGAGAGGAGCAUGAUGAGAAGAAUCAAGAGUUUUUAUUAAAGGUGUUGUGCUCAUGCAGCUUUUGUCGGGAAAUCCAAAUAAUUUACUCCCACUUGCUUUCAUUUGGAGCAAAUGGCAGCCUUGUGUCACAUAAAAAAGGAAUGAGCCUUGCUUCUCUCCAGUGCUUCUUUUCUGGGCAGCAGACAGACACGCUGCAGCUGUCCACAGCCCCUGCAUUCAAAGUUAGGAGCUGGCACGGCCUGCCAGAAGAAAUUAAAUGUAAUGAAAACGUGUUCCUGCUCAAAGUCAGGGGCUGCCUUUGCUGUACCACAUCCUUGAGUCCUGAGGGCUACACCACCUUCUCCUCCCAGCAGUGCUGGGGGAGCUGAGCCAUUCCUGGGUGGUUUUACACCGAUUUGUCCUGCAGCUGAGGGGCUGUACCUGCUGAGCAGGGGAUUUCUCAGCUGCAGGCAUUUUCCAUCCACAAGGCACAGCUGGAAAUCUCUGUUUUAAAUCAGCGGAGAAGGGACUCUGAACUUGGAUACAUUCAAAAGCCAAGGAGAGCUUGAAGAAUCUUCCCCUGGGUGGUUUCCCUGGCACACCACAGGCUUGGCACAGCAGUGCUGGUACUGCAGAGCUCUGCUGGGGCUUCCCAGAGCACAUCAGGGCUCCCUCCCUGGGCACCAGCUUUUCCUGGGUCUCAAUCAGAGCCCAGUGAAGGCAAAGCACGGGCUGGAAGUGACUUCAGCCAGUGCCUCACUCUGCUUCAGCUCUUUGCAGCCCCAAAUCCCCUCUGUUUUCCAGAGGUCAUUCCCCACCUCACAUUUUUGUUUGAACAGAGAUGAGGUGAUAGGAGAAGCAUCUUUUAAGGGAGAAUAAAAAGGAUUAAACCUCAUACACCUCCCAUCCAUCCUGAUCUUUGGACUUCCAAGGGGCUCCAAGCCCACUCACUGCUGGCCUAGAGGGGCUGUGAAGGGGCUGGUAAACCACUUUGUGUCACAGUGUUCUCCAGCCACAGCCUGCCAGGUCCCUGAACCAGUCUCAGCCAUUAACCACACCAUCUUUCAGCUGCUUCACUUCGCUGCCAGCUCCAUGCUGUAUUCCCAGUCUGGAAAUUAGAAUUUUCUUUUUGCCUCACACUGGGGGAAGAAGAGAACCCUGUCUUCAUUUAUUAAAUCACUGAGUGACCAGGUGUUCUUUUCUUGAUUAGGGCAGUUUAAUAUUUCUGCUGAUACCUGUACUUCAAGUUCUCCUUUCAGCCCUCAUAUUUUUUGCAGUUGAGUUGUGAAAGAUCAGCAGCUGAGCUUCAGUCGUGUUCCUCCUCAUUUUUCAUGCUGCCUUCGCUGUUUUGGAGAGCUGCUGAAUACAAAAUGAAGCUGCAAGAGCGUGUUUGCUCCACAGCCAGCAAGGCAUGAAGCCCUUUUUUCUCCAGCUGUGGAGUACAGCCAGAGCAUUGCUAACAGAGUCACUGGGGAUGUGACUCAAAGGGUGACAUUUCCUACUCUGCUCGGUGACACCAGAUGAUGAAUGCUCACAGCAAAACACGGGGCUGGUUUAAAUAAACAAAAUUAAAUCUA